rnacentral:tRNA from 1 species
UGGGGUGUGGCUCAGUGGCAGAGCACUUGCCUCACAUGUUCGAGGCACUGGGUUCAAUUCUCAGCACCACAC